rnacentral:rRNA from 1 species
UACGUAGGGGGCUAGCGUUGUCCGGAUUUAUUGGGCGUAAAGAGCGUGUAGGCGGCCAGGUAGGUCUGCUGUGAAAACUCGAGGCUCAACCUCGAGACGUCGGCGGAAACCAUCUGGCUAGAGUCCGGAAGAGGAGAGUGGAAUUCCUGGUGUAGCGGUGAAAUGCGCAGAUAUCAGGAAGAACACCCGUGGCGAAGGCGGCUCUCUGGGACGGUACUGACGCUGAGGCGCGAAAGCUAGGGGAGCAAACAGG